AUGUGUCAAUUGAAGCUUGUGCACAACAUGAGGGCUCAAAACGACAAGUGGUUCGCAGAAUACCUACUACGUAUUGGAAACGAAACCGAGGAGACAAAUUAUGAUAGUGAAAUACUUCUACCUACAAGUAUAUGCGUGCCAAAUAAGACGGAUGAUAAUGGCCUAGAUAGACUCAUCGACAGUAUCUACAAAACGGACAAUUCUUCCCUAAAAGAUCCAAAGUACAUCACGUCAAGAGCAAUUUUAUCCACAAGGAACGACUCUGUAGACAGAGUAAACCUAAAAAUGAUUGAU
rnacentral:rRNA from 1 species